rnacentral:rRNA from 1 species
AUUGAACGCUGGCGGCAUGCCUUACACAUGCAAGUCGGACGGCAGCACGGGAGCAAUCCUGGUGGCGAGUGGCGAACGGGUGAGUAAAGUAUCGGAACGUGCCCAGUCGUGGGGGAUAACGUAGCGAAAGUUACGCUAAUACCGCAUACGAUCUAUGGAUGAAAGCGGGGGAUCGCAAGACCUCGCGCGAUUGGAGCGGCCGAUAUCAGAUUAGGUAGUUGGUGGGGUAAAGGCUCACCAAGCCGACGAUCUGUAGCUGGUCUGAGAGGACGACCAGCCACAAGGGGACUGAGACACGGCCCAGACUCCUACGGGAGGCAGCAGGGGGGAAUUUUGGACAAUGGGCGAAAGCCUGAUCCAGCCAUGCCGCGUGCAGGAUGAAGGCCUUCGGGUUGUAAACUGCUUUUGUACGGAACGAAAAGGUUUGGCCUAAUAAGCUGAGCUCAUGACGGUACCGUAAGAAUAAGCACCGGCUAACUACGUGCCAGCCGCCGCCGUAA